UUUCAGUCACAACACUUAACACUUGGCAGGACCUUUCUUCUUUUCGGUGUGUAGACUUGUCUCUCUUAUGUCGAUUAACGUACAAAACUUUAAGUUCUCCCUUUUUGAUAAUCAGCUAGUAUGGGGAAAGACUUGGCUGGCUGCUGGGUUUUCCUUGUCUCUCCCUGUCUGUCCUUCUCUUGUCUGCCUCUCCAAACUGGCCGGGACCCUCGGAACUUUCGGAAUUGACCGACUCUUCUCACGUGCUCUUUGGUUUACUCCGACUCUCUCUGCCUGGCUGACUUUUUCCUCCCUCUUCACCCCCUAAAAUUUCCCCG
rnacentral:lncRNA from 1 species